rnacentral:rRNA from 1 species
UGAGGAACAUGUCCUUCGGCGGGGGAUAGCCGGCCCAACGGCCGGGUAAUACCGCGUACGACCACAUGGGGACAUCCCUGAGUGGUGAAAGCAGCAAUGCGCCGAUGGAGUGCCUUGCGGCCUAUCAGCUAGUUGGUGAGGUCAUGGCUCACCAAGGCGACGACGGGUAGCUGGUCCGAGAGGAUGACCAGCCACAUUGGGACUGAGACACGGCCCAGAUCCCGUAACGGGG